UACGAAGGGGGCUAGCGUUGCUCGGAAUUACUGGGCGUAAAGGGCGCGUAGGCGGAUAUUUAAGUUAGAGGUGAAAGCCCAGGGCUCAACCCUGGAAUAGCCUUUAAUACUGGAUAUCUUGAGUUCGGGAGAGGUGAGUGGAACUCCGAGUGUAGAGGUGAAAUUCGUAGAUAUUCGGAAGAACACCAGUGGCGAAGGCGACUCACUGGCCCGAUACUGACGCUGAGGCGCGAAAAGCGUGGGGAGCAAACAGGG
rnacentral:rRNA from 1 species